AAUGGAGACCAGACAAUAGACCGAGAAGAUAAGGGCAUUACAAUGGAGACUAUACAGUCCCAGAAGGUAAGGGCAUUACAAUGGAGACUAUACAGUCCCAGAAGGUAAGGGCAUUACAAUGGAGACUAUACAGUCCCAGAAGGUGAGGGCAUUACAAUGGAGACUAUACAGUCCCAGAAGGUGAGGGCAUUACAAUGGAGACUAUACAGUCCCAGAAGGUAAGGGCAUUACAAUGGAGACUAUACAGUCCCAGAAGGUAAGGGCAUUACAAUGGAGACUAUACAGUCCCAGAAGGUGAGGGCAUUACAAUGGAGACAAGACAAUAGACCGAGAAGGUAAGGGCAUUACAAUGGAGACUAUACAGUCCCAGAAGGUAAGGGCAUUACAAUGGAGACUAUACAGUCCCAGAAGGUAAGGGCAUUACAAUGGAGACUAUACAGUCCCAGAAGGUAAGGGCAUUACAAUGGAGACUAUACAGUCCCAGAAGGUGAGGGCAUUACAAUGGAGACUAUACAGUCCCAGAAGGUGAGGGCAUUACAAUGGAGACUAUACAGUCCCAGAAGGUAAGGGCAUUACAAUGGAGACUAUACAGUCCCAGAAGGUGAGGGCAUUACAAUGGAGACUAUACAGUCCCAGAAGGUGAGGGCAUUACAAUGGAGACUAUACAGUCCCAGAAGGUGAGGGCAUUACAAUGGAGACUAUACAGUCCCAGAAGGUGAGGGCAUUACAGUGGAGACGAGACAAUACAGUCCCAGAAGGUGAGGGCAUUACAAUGGAGACAAUAAAGCCCCAGAAGGUAAGGACAUUACAAUGGAGACAAUACAGUCCCAGAAGGUGAGGGCAUUACAAUGGAGACAAGACAAUAGACAGAGAAGGUAAGGGCAUUACAAUGGAGACAAGACAAUAGACCGAGAAGGUAAGGGCAUUACAAUGGAGACAAUACAGUCCCAGAAGGUAAGGGCAUUACAAUGGAGACAAUACAGUCCCAGAAGGUGAGGGCAUUACAAUGGAGACUAUACAGUCCCAGAAGGUGAGGGCAUUACAAUGGAGACUAUACAGUCCCAGAAGGUAAGGGCAUUACAAUGGAGACUAUACAGUCCCAGAAGGUAAGGGCAUUACAAUGGAGACUAUACAGUCCCAGAAGGUAAGGGCAUUACAAUGGAGACUAUACAGUCCCAGAAGGUGAGGGCAUUACAAUGGAGACUAUACAGUCCCAGAAGGUAAGGGCAUUACAAUGGAGACAAUACAGUCCCAGAAGGUGAGGGCAUUACAAUGGAGACUAUACAGUCCCAGAAGGUGAGGGCAUUACAAUGGAGACUAUACAGUCCCAGAAGGUGAGGGCAUUACAAUGGAGACUAUACAGUCCCAGAAGGUGAGGGCAUUACAAUGGAGACUAUACAGUCCCAGAAGGUGAGGGCAUUACAAUGGAGACUAUACAGUCCCAGAAGGUGAGGGCAUUACAGUGGAGACGAGACAAUACAGUCCCAGAAGGUGAGGGCAUUACAAUGGAGACAAUAAAGCCCCAGAAGGUAAGGACAUUACAAUGGAGACAAUACAGUCCCAGAAGGUAAGGGCAUUACAAUGGAGACAAGACAAUAGACCGAGAAGGUAAGGGCAUUACAAUGGAGACUAUACAGUCCCAGAAGGUAAGGGCAUUACAAUGGAGACAAUACAGUCCCAGAAGGUGAGGGCAUUACAAUGGAGACAAGACAAUAGACCGAGAAGGUAAGGGCAUUACAAUGGAGACAACACAGUCCCAGAAGAUAAGGGCAUUACAGUGGAGACAAGACAAUAGUCCCAGAAGAUAAGGGCAUUACAGUGGAGACAACACAGUCCCAGAAGAUAAGGGCAUUACAGCGGAGACAAGACAAUAGUCCCAGAAGAUAAGGGCAUUACAAUGGAGACAAGACAAUAGUCCCAGAAGAUAAGGGCAUUACAGUGGAGACAACACAGUCCCAGAAGAUAAGGGCAUUACAGUGGAGACGAGACAAUAGUCCCAGAAGAUAAGGGCAUUACAAUGGAGACAAGACAAUAGUCCCAGAAGAUUUGGGCAUUACAGUGGAGACAACACAGUCCCAGAAGAUUUGGGCAUUACAGUGGAGACAACACAGUCCCAGAAGAUAAGGGCUUUACAGUGGAGACGAGACAGUAGUCCCAGAAGAUAAGGGCAUUACAAUGGAGACAAGACAAUAGUCCCAGAAGAUAAGGGCAUUACAGUGGAGACAACACAGUCCCAGAAGAUAAGGGCAUUACAGUGGAGACGAGACAACACAGUCCCAGAAGGUGAAGGCAUUACAAUGGAGACAAGACAAUACAGUCCCAGAAGAUAAGGGCAUUACAGUGGAGACAAGACAAUACAGUCCCAGAAGGUGAGGGCAUUACAAUGGAGACAAGACAAUACAGUCCCAGAAGAUAAGGGCAUUACAAUGGAGACAAGACAAUACAGUCCCAGAAGAUAAGGGCAUUACAAUGGAGACAAGACAAUACAGUCCCAGAAGAUAAGGGCAUUACAAUGGAGACAAGACAAUACAGUCCCAGAAGAUAAGGGCAUUACAAUGGAGAUGAGACAAUACAGUCCCAGAAGAUAAGGGCAUUACAAUGGAGAUGAGACAAUACAGUCCCAGAAGAUAAGGGCAUUACAAUGGAGACAAGACAAUACAGUCCCAGAAGAUAAGGGCAUUACAAUGGAGACGAGACAAUACAGUCCCAGAAGAUAAGGGCAUUACAAUGGAGAUGAGACAAUACAGUCCCAGAAGAUAAGGGCAUUACAAUGGAGAUGAGACAAUACAGUCCCAGAAGAUAAGGGCAUUACAAUGGAGAUGAGACAAUACAGUCCCAGAAGAUAAGGGCAUUACAAUGGAGAUGAGACAAUACAGUCCCAGAAGAUAAGGGCAUUACAAUGGAGAUGAGACAAUACAGUCCCAGAAGAUAAGGGCAUUACAAUGGAGAUGAGACAAUACAGUCCCAGAAGAUAAGGGCAUUACAAUGGAGAUGAGACAAUACAGUCCCAGAAGAUAAGGGCAUUACAAUGGAGAUGAGACAAUACAGUCCCAGAAGAUAAGGGCAUUACAAUGGAGAUGAGACAAUACAGUCCCAGAAGAUAAGGGCAUUACAGUGGAGAUGAGACAAUACAGU